rnacentral:rRNA from 1 species
GACGAACGCUGGCGGCGUGCUUAACACAUGCAAGUCGAACCGAAAGGCCCUGCUUUUGUGGGGUGCUCCAGUGGCGAACGGGUGAAUAACACGUGAGUAACCUGCCCUUGACUUUGGUAUAACUUCAGGAAACUGGGGCUAAUACCCGAUAGUAUCUCCUGCUGCAUGGGGGGGGUGGGAAAAUUUCUGCGGAUGGGGAUGGACUCGCCUCUUAUCCUCUCGUUGGUGGGGUAGUGGCUUACCAAGGCUUUUACAGUUAGUCGGCCUGAUAGGGUGACGGCCCACAUUGUGACUGAUAUACUGCCCAGACUCCUACGGGAGGAAUCAUCUGGGGAAUAUUGCACAACGGGCGGAAGCCUCAUGCUGCAACGCCCCGUGCGGGAUGACGGCCUUCCUGAUGUAAUCCGCUUCCUCCUGUAACGAAGCAUGGUUGACGGCAAUGCGUAAAAAAGAACCGCCUGAUUACUUGCCUGCAGCCGCCGCCGAUCCAUACGGUGGAAGCGUAGUCCGGCUUUCUUGAUCGCCAAGGGCGCAUAUGUAGCUGAUCGCUUCCGCACUGAAAUCUUGGGGCUUAACCCUGAGCGUGCUUUCGAUACGGGUUGACUUGAGGAAGGUAGGGGAGAAUGGAAUUCCUGGUGGAGCGGUGGAAUGCGCAGAUAUCAGGAGGAACACCAGUGGCGAAGGCGGUUCUCUAGGCCUUUCCUGACGCUGAGGAGCGAAAGCGUGGGGAGCGAACAGGCUUAGAUACCCUGGUAGUCCACGCUGUAAACGGUGGGUACUAGGUGUGGGGUCCAUUCCACGGGUUCCGUGCCGUAGCUAACGCUUUAAGUACCCCGCCUGGGGAGUACGGCCGCAAGGCUAAAACUCAAAGGAAUUGACGGGGCCCCGCACAAGCGGCGGAGCAUGCGGAUUAAUUCGAUGCAACGCGUAGAACCUUACCUGGGUUUGACAUGGAUCGGAAGUGCUCAGAGAUGGGUGUGCCUCUUUUGGGGUCGGUUCACAGGUGGUGCAUGGCUGUCGUCAGCUCGUGUCGUGAGAUGUUGGGUUAAGUCCCGCAACGAGCGCAACCCUUGUUCACUGUUGCCAGCACGUUAUGGUGGGGACUCAGUGGAGACCGCCGGGGUCAACUCGGAGGAAGGUGGGGAUGACGUCAAGUCAUCAUGCCCCUUAUGUCCAGGGCUUCACGCAUGCUACAAUGGCUGGUACAGAGAGUGGCGAGCCUGUAAGGGUGAGCGAAUCUCGGAAAGCCGGUCUCAGUUCGGAUUGGGGUCUGCAACUCGACCUCAUGAAGUCGGAGUCGCUAGUAAUCGCAGAUCAGCAACGCUGCGGUGAAUACGUUCCCGGGGCU